GUUCAGAGGAGAAGAUGUGCCACCUCAGAGAGGCAACGUCCCCGAAUCCCCCUGCAGCGCUGCAGCCGGCCUCGUGCCCUCACUUAACGCAGAUACAGCUCAGUCUGCAGCUAGCCCGGAGGCCAGUCCUAGCUUCGUUGGGUCAGAGCUGAUCUAAUGAUAAAACUUCCUGGACAAUACUGCACCUUAUGAGACUGAGGGACAUCAUAGCUGGCGAAAUGGCAGAUGAACAUCAAGACAGACAAAGGAUGGGGAAUUCAUCCAUGGAAGUUCUGCAAAGGGUGAACAUUUUUUUUCAGAUGAAAAUGGGACGCACGCAAUGAUACGUCUGGGUAGUGAUAUAUCUUCGCCUUCAGAAAGCACGGGAGAAAAAAUUAAGUCAUAUAUGAGCUAGUCAGUUCAGGGAUACAUUAGCUGCCUCAACCCAGUUAUAUGCCAAUGCCUCAUUUGCUCAUAUAGGAAUAUAAAUCAUGAUAGAUUUUACCUUUGCAACCGUUUGAUACAGUAUAUAACUGAGGAUAGAAUGUGACCCAUAGAACUAGAAAUCUGUUUAUUCAUUUUUUGGACUGGUAAAUUCUCUCUGCAAUUGUGAUGCUUAAAAUAAUGUCUAAAUUCUUGGAAAAAAUCCACAAAUAUAUUGAUUUCUUGAUGGAUGUCUACAUAUUUACCUACAGCAACCUGUUUGUAAAAAAGCUCACAUUAUACUUCUCUCUCUACCUUUUCCCACACAAUCCAAUUUGCUAUAUAGCAGCUGCCAGAAUUCAUGGAUGACAAACUCAAGGUUUUUCACAGAAAAGCAGUUCAUAAAAAUGUCCUUGAUCUUGUCAUCAUGGUCGUCAUCUCUUGUGCUUAUCAUUAUACUGACUAUACUAUUAAUUAUUGUGAAUGAAGAAGUUCUGUGAAAAUAGCCAUGUUUUCAGCACACCAUUACUGAAUUUCAUGAUAAAUUUAUGUAAUAGCAGUAAUAUAGAGAACAUAGUUAUUGAAUUAAAUUGAAAGACAAUGAGGUUAAGGGAGCAAAGCAAUUAAUAUCUCUUCCCUUAUGCUCUGACAACAUGAACAGUUUCUAUUUCUGGAUGGAGCAGGAAAUCUUUUUUUUUUUUCCUUCAAAUCCAUGUGAAGCACUUUUCCUGAAUUUUAAUACUCCGACCUCAAAAGAUAUAUUGAACUUCCUUAGGGCUGAUGUUCAAAUAUAAUAAAGCUUGAAGCUUUCUAAUUCAUAUGUGGUGGAAGAAACUCUAAGCAGUCAACAGCAUAAAUACAAACAUAAAUAUCCUCCUUUUGAACGCAGGUUAGCAGCAAAGUUCUUUUUUAGGGCCACACUCUGCCCUGAUUUACUGUUUGUGAAAUAUAAUUGAUUAAUGUCUGCUCUCAGAGAAAACAUAAAAAGCAGUAAUCAAUCUAGUGCAAUAUUUAUAUGUGGAAAGCCAAAUAAGAUCAACCCAAAUCUGCAUAUGAACUAAAGUACUGUAACACUAGUUAAUUCUAACAGGAGAGCAAGACUUAGGUGAUGAUGGGUAUGUUUUGCUUCUCUUAAAUAGUCUAGUGACAAACAUGUGUUCCCAUCCAUUUUCAUACAAGCCAAUAUAGUGGGACACCAAUGUUCACCUGAGUCCGUAGAUUCUCUUAUACAAAAAAUAUUUGGUCUAGGCUGCGGAGCCAUAAUUCUGUCAUCUGAUCAAUCCCCCAGUUUCAGGAAAAAUCGUGUGUGUCAGUGGGCAGAAUGCUAUUGAUUGGGAGGACAACUAGAAAGGCAGAAAGGGGAAAAUGGAAAACCUGUGGAAUCCAUUUUGCCUGUUUAGCACUGUGACACACAAGCACCUUCAUAAUUGUCCAUUAAUCAAAGAACUGUUUGAUAGAAAGGGCAAAAUGUGAAUGUACUCACGCUCACUAGAACUGGGCUGGAAAAUGGCUCCCAGAAGGUGAAUAAGGUACACAAAGGACAUAGCUCUUGGUAUGUGAGAGUAAAGGCUGGACGACAGGCUUUACGGAGGAGGAAAAUGAACCCUUGUCAUUUGCUGUAGUCAAAAUUAGGGUAUACACCGAAUUCAUGGCAAAUACAGAGUUCAAGAGUUUCUUAAAGAAAGGUAGCACACAAGAGGCUCAUGUGUUGAAAUACAGGGAGCCCUUGAUGUGUGCGGUAAAUCUGGCUUACAGAGACUACAGAAUAUGUGAUCUCUCAAUAAGUGACAGGAUAUUCUUGAACAUUUUAUAUGAUAUUAAAUGAAAAAUAAUUGGCUUUGGGAAAGAGCUGCUGCGAUUCUCUCAGCAAUCUAAUUAAUGAUUCCCCUCAUCUGCGUACAGUUCUCAUCUCCCACAUACUUCCCAUUUAAAUUAUCUCCUGCUAUAUGUGGUGACCUCUGACCGUAUUAAUACAAUAUGCAAAGUAACUUAGUGCUGUUAUGAAACAUUUUGUUUCAUCUCUCAGACUGAGAAAGUUUCAUAGGAAGCAGACAGAAUGCAGACAGUGGCGGGAGGUCUUUGGAAAACACUGGAGGCCAUCAUCUGCCGUGUGGGAAAGGGUGAGAGCUCGGGGAGAUGGUGAGAAGGAGGCAGAAGUGUCCAACCCUCGCCCCCCACCAAAAAUUUCUUUUGCACUUUUCCCAGCUGCUUCUAAGAGACCUUCCUCUUCUGCUUUGUUGUUCAUGUAACCUAUUCUGGAAAUGAUUAGGGGACAGAGUAGCUGAGUCGGUAUUGAGGAACAGCAGAGAGAACGAUGGUUGGAAGAUGUAUGUUUUGGACAACAGUGGAGUUGCUUUGUUAGCACUCUUUGUGUACUGAGAAUUAGUACUCUGUGACUAAUUCACCAUUGAUUUUGAACAGUUCAUAAAAAUUAAUGGAGAAAUAAUAGGCUAUGAGGGCAGGGUAUUGGGGUGUAAGAAUUAUAAAAAUCUAGAUUCAGCCACUGGACUAAUCAUUGCUUCUCUUCAAGGGAAAGGAUUGGAGAGUACUACAAAUUCUGGUGAUGCCAGUUCUUGAGUCUUUUAGCAUCUGGCAUAAGAAACAAGUACAAUUUAUAGUGUAGUUUGUGAUGUCCUAGCAAAUGCAGCAUUUAAAAAAACCCUGAAACUUAACUAAUUGCUGUUACGAAAGGAAGUGGAAAUAUUGCAGAAUAACUUGAAGCAUAUAAACUGGUUUAUUUGUAUUCCCUGUUACAUUAAGAGAGAGAAAUACACACAAAGAUGCAGAGUGCCUGAAAAAUAUUGGAUAUGUUUAUAUCAUAGGAGAUUAAGCAGUAUUUCUGCUUGAUUUUUAAUUCAACUUGAAACCAGAGUUACGAACACAUUUCUAAAGCAUACUGAAAAGGGAAAAUUGGAAGGAAGUAUAUACUACGGAAAAUAAAAUGUUACCUUGUUUUUAACAGAAAAAAACCCUCUUUAAAAUAUAGUAAUCAAUGAAAACUCCAUUUUUUAAAGUUUAGAUCAGCUUUAAACUAAAUUAAUUACACUUGGAAUCAUGGAAUUAAAUUAAAUUAGUAGCUUCAUAAUAAAAUCAACACACUGAUUUAUAAGCAUCCUAACACAGGGAUAUAGUUUCAUUUUCAACAGUUACUGGGAAGCUUAACUUUGAAAGAGGUUUUAAAGUGUGGAAACCUUUUAAAAUACAUUAAUACAUUUGCAAAAAUCUUUCUCUUCUUUUCCUUAAACUUUGAGCUUCAACUGUCAUUUUUACUUCAGUGAAAAUAUUUAACUUCUGAUGAUUUAGGGUACAGUCCUCAGCCACUUAGAUAAAGGACAGUUAUUCCCAUUGAUUGAAGUGGGUACAUGAUUUAAUGCUUAAAACAGACAAAAUCUCUUAAAACUCUCAAAAUCUCUUUAACUUGAGAAUGCUAACAUUUUACUGAAGUGCCAUGGUGUUUCUGUACCUCACCAAGUGAUUCUCAUGCAUGUAGUCUUUUUAGUCUUUUCACUUGACAUAUGUCAUUAUUUUUUCAUUAUACAAUUUAAUGGCUUUAUUCCCUAGUUGUACUGAAAUAGAUUUCAAUACAGUUGAGGCAUGGCCCCAGUGAAGAUGUACAUGUUCUCCCCCCUCCUCCUUUUUUUUUUUGUGAAAAUGUGAUUUCCACCAGCUUUUAAAAGCUGGACGUAUGGUAUGGUCCAUUGUAUGGACGUAUUUUGUAUGGUCCAUUAGUUUGGAAGGCAUCAGCCAGAGCACAGCACAUUUCCACCUCUCUCCCUCAUCUAAGAAUAUCCCUAGUUUGUAGGGAGUUCUCUUGGAGAAAAGCUGGGAAUAGCAAACUACGAAGAAGGCAGCUGAACGAACGAAUCCAGGAUGAUGGAGAGAAAGUACGAUGUUUGUCUAUGGAUCAGAUGAAAUAAGCAGCCGAAGCCUAUUUUUGCUUUUCUACUUUAGUAAUGACAUUCUGUCAACUGCUUAAUGUUGUAUGAUAUAUGACGAUGAUGAUAACAGGGGUUCUCAAACUGGGCAUGCUUUUCGCCAUCAUCAUCAUCAGUGGUGGUACUACACUGGCAAUAGCAAGAGUUCCUGCCUCUUUGCUGGGCCACGUUCAUGCACAGGAGAGUAAGUCCCACCUUUCUCUCACCAACGCGCAUUACUGGGCUCUCGACAAUCAGAGGAGGACUAUAAAAGGCUCCUUGUGGUCCUAAAAUUUUGGAACCUACAAACACACCUCAACCUUGAUCUGCAAGGCACACUGCUCAGCCCAGUCAUGUAAGGCGCUCUCCUUCAUGAACACUGCUUGCUGCCAAAUUGCGUGAAUUUUAGAACAAAUGAAAAAUAACCAGUUUGCUGUUUGUAGGCAGGCAUUUACAGCAUCGAGGAACAGAUCCCCAUUAGUGCCUUUCCACACAGGGCUGAGAGCUGCCUCAUCACUCUGUAGCUUAUUAUGUUGCAGGCGUUUUCCUAUCACAGACUGGGAGCUCUUAGUCCACAACAGAAAACUUAAGCAAAAAGUUAAAAACAGAAUUUAGAGGAUCCGUAGGAAAGAAUUAACUUGCUGCAGCAGCUUAUAUUACUUCCUGUUUAAUUCUAGUUUUAGGUGUUUAGAUCUUCUGAUGAACAUGGAUUAAGACUUACCGGAUUUGAAAAGGCAGAAAUUUGAAAGGGUGGUGGUGGAGCGGUCACAGUGAGAGCAGCCAUUCUCAGUGAGCUUUGACUGAUUUGAGUCAUGAGAGAGUGAAAAAAGAGCAAUAUUUAGAAUAGGAUAUAAGUUUAAAAUAUUGGAUGGAAGGAGGAGUCAUAUGGUUAUUUCUUCCAUGUAGGCAGGAAAAGAACAAAGUUUUUAACAAACUGGAAGAGCAGACAGUUUAAGCUGUUAAGGGCAAUCUGAACGGUAGAAGGCCGUAAGUGACGAAGUUAUGUAUGUGGUGUUUUCUUGUGUGCAGGUUCUUAAUUUAAAAUAAUCUAAUCAUUAAAUACUUUAACAUGGCAAGGAAGAAUAUUUUCCUCAGAACACUCCAUAAAUGAAAUCUGAUCGGCUUCUGGAAACAGCAGUUGAAAUCUCAGUGCAAAACAAUGAAUAUUAAAAUGAAACUCGAAAUUUCACAGGGCAUUAAAUAUCUUGUCCUUGUAAACUUUGUGGUAGGGUACUUUUUCAAA